rnacentral:antisense_RNA from 1 species
AACUCAUGCCUGUGUUAUUUUCCUUUGAAGGACCAGAAGGCCCCCUCAGUGCCAUCUGAGGACACCGCGGUAGUGCCUAUUAAGUAACACCCAGACAAGGCGUGGCCCUUCAACCGUCUUAUGAAAUGAGAAACCACCACACCGGCCACGAGGCCAUUCACAUACACAUGUGCAGGGUGGAUGAGGAAAGGAUAGAUGAGAAACUGGGACCACACCAGGUGAUAACUGAGAACCAAACUCCCCAAAGCUCCCAGCACUGGACAACUCCAGAAAGGGUCUCAGCACCACAGGCUCUAAGAUGGAGUGACUGCUAGAGACAGAAAUCAUGGCAACAAGUAGAACAUUUUCUGUCCACACCUAGAGGGAGAAGCGACAGGAGGAAAUACCUCCAAGCUUGUGGGAUGUGCCUGGUGAGGAUAUUCCGUUCAAUGACACAUUUGUGGUCUUUACAUGUUGACCAGCCAACAAGAACUUGCUGAGUACAGGACGGACAAGGUUGGCAUUCUGCUGGCUCUACAGGAGAUCAACGGGAAGGAUGGAGA